AAGUCUUGUUGUAGAACUUAAAAGGAGGGUUCUUGUGUUGGAGGAAGAGGUGGCAUUCGAGAAACGUAGACGAAGAAGACCACAGGAUGGUGGAGACAAUGUGCCACAUGAAGAACCGUCCAUAUCGCCUAGAGGCAUGUCCCCGGGAGGCAUCAGUCCGGGCGGGAUCCCGUUGGGAGGCCACUCCCAAGAAGGCAUGUCCAGUGGUCGUCCUGCAAUGAAGACAUUUGUGAGGAUGGGGUCACGAAGGCGUUACAAGAGUAGAGCGCUUAGGACUCCUUAUGUAGGAUUGCUUAGGAAAAAGUUAGAGUGAGAUUUGAAAAUAUUUUUUAAGAUAUUGUAAUAUGCAGAUUGUGUAGCAUGAACAAUUAUUUUGUAAUCUGGAUUGUCUUUUGUUCAAUGUUGUAAACAUGGAAGUUGCC
rnacentral:lncRNA from 1 species